rnacentral:rRNA from 1 species
AUUGAACGCUGGCGGCAGGCCUAACACAUGCAAGUCGAGCGGAGCGGCGGACGGGUGAGUAAUGCCUAUGAAUCUGCCUGGUCGUGGGGGAUAACGUUCGGAAACGGGCGCUAAUACCGCAUCCUCUCCGACGAGCCUAGGUGGGAUUAGCUAGUUGGUGGGGGAAAGGCCUACCAAGGCGACGAUCCGUACCUGGUCUGAGAGGAUGAUCAGUCACACUGGAACUGAGACACGGUCCAGACCCCUACGGGAGGCAGCAGUGGGGAAUAUUGGACAAUGGGCGAAAGCCUGAUCCAGCCAUGCCGCGUGUGUGAAGAAGGUCUUCGGAUUGUAAAGCACUUUAAGUUGGGAGGCGUUACCAACAGAAUAAGCACCGGCUAACUUCGUGCCAGCAGCCGCGGUAAUAC